UCCAUUUGAGUUUUUUUUUAGGUCCACGUUAGUCAGCAUCUGUUGUUUUUCAGCCAACUAUGAAGCAAGUUGUGCCUAGAUAGGUGGUUGUACUUUUAGCGUUUAAAGUAGGCAAUGCAAUUGAUGAUCUGCUUUAAUCUGAGAAACUAGUAAAUCAUAUUGGUGAAAAUACAACAUAUUUUGGCCCAAAUUUCAGUUAGCGUCUGUUGUUUUUCAGCCUACUAUGAAGCAAGUUGCGCCUACAUCGGUGGUUGUACUUUUAGCAGUCAAAGUAGGCAAUGCAAAUUCUAAUCCGCAUUAAUCUGAGAAACUAGUAAAUCACAUCGGUGAAAAUACUAGAUAUUUUGGCUAAAAAAUUACAGCUGCUUGAUCCCUGAUGCCCAUCACUCAGGAAUCAUGGUGUUCAAAAGCUCAAAAUGCAUUUAGUAGUCAUAGGGAACAGCAGAACAAAUUGCCAACAAAUUGAUAAUGUUGUGAUUGUGGCAGGUACUCGCUGAACAUAUGGGAUGUUGGGGGGCAGAAGACCAUCCGUUCAUACUGGAGGAACUACUUCGAGCAGACUGACGGUCUCGUUUGGGUGGUCGAUAGUUCCGAUGUUCGAAGGCUCGAUGAUUGCCGUGCGGAGCUCCAUAAUCUUCUGAAAGAAGAGGUAAACCGCCUAGUGAAUACCACUGAUCAUCCACUUUAGCGUAAUUCGUCUUGGUUUUUUUGCUUUGAAUAACUUCACUGAAAACUAGCAAAAGAUAAUGUUUGCUGUUUAGCAUCAGGAAACUCUUGGGACUACAAAUUUGGUUACCUAGCAUGUUUGUGCUUAAUUUAUGUGCUAUCUUGUUCAACUAUUGGAGUGAGCCUUCAAAUUUCUGUUGCAGAGACUGGCUGGAUCAUCGUUGUUAGUUUUCGCAAAUAAGCAAGACAUUCAGGGCGCUUUGAAGCCUGACGAAAUCGCCAAGGUAAAACACACUAGUCAAGCAGUAUGUAUAUGGACCCCCAUAUAUUGGUCUAUUAUCUUCGUACCUGGAGCCACAUGAUCAUCUUGUGAUCUUUGCUUUAAGGACAGUCAAAACGGAAAAUAAUCCUAGCAUAUACAUACAAGUUUGUGGUCUUUGCUUCAUGAUGAUUUUAAAAAAAACUAAUAAUUGGCAUGUUGUUUAGUGUUCUUCGAGUUUGAUGGUAACCGGGUGGAGUUUUUGGAUCCAGGUUCUGAAUCUUGAAGUGAUGAACAAGGACCGGCACUGGAAGAUCGUCGGCUGCAGCGCCUACACAGGCGACGGCCUGCUCCAGGGCUUCGACUGGCUGGUCCAGGACAUCGCCUCCCGCAUCUAUGUCCUCGACUGAAACAACAACCAAACUCUGGACAUUUAGCCAUCUGCACUACUGUUAUUGGUUACACCGGCUACCUCAUGUAAUCCGAUCAAGUUUGAACCAAACCAUAGAUGAUGAAACUUUUGUUAUGCACUCUCAUUGAGCUCUGCGUACUGCAAUCGUCAGUUGGUGCGAUCUGUUGCUUAAACAGAAGGUGGAUGAGAUGCACAUCGCAAUGUCUAAAUUUUAUAUUACUCACUGAAAUGGCAGCAAGCUUGGUGCGAUCUGUUGCUUAAACAGAAGGUGGAUGCUUCAGAACAUUUCACUAGAUCUACAAUAUGCUUGCUUGAAGAAAAAGAUAAUGGAUGCUUCAUAACGAAAGAGAGAAAAGAAUAAAAGCAUCAGGACACAUAGGAGGAUAUUUCGCAGCUAUCACUUGCAUUUUCUUCAUCCAUUUAAACUGACUUCAAACAUAGGAUUCCAACAUCACAUCCCAAUCCAUGACAGAAGGGAUUGCUGCAUCACCGACGAACACGACCGACUGAAAGAUAACACAUGUUGUUUCUUCCUCGCGUAACCAGCUCUAAUUAACCCCGGACAGAGCGACACUCGAGCUCGCGAUCAAAAACACCACAGGACCGAACGACACACACGACUCAAGACUGACUGACACAGGAACACGACGACGACGACACUGAAGAUAACUUGCUGACGAAGACGACGAGAUGGUAGAUAGAUCGAUAACUGGAGGGCCCCGCCGCUCAGUUCCUCCA
rnacentral:lncRNA from 1 species